GGUGGUUCAGUGGUAGAAGGCUCGAUGCCACGCGGGCGGCCCGGGUUCGAUUCCCGGCAAAUGCA
rnacentral:tRNA from 1 species